AAGUGAAAGAAGGGCAUUCGGUGGAUGCCUUGGCGCUGAGAGGCGAUGAAGGACGUGGUACGCUGCGAUAAGCCUUGGGGAGCUGCGAACGAGCUUUGAUCCAGGGAUUUCCGAAUGGGGAAACCCACCGAAAGGUAUCGCAUGAUGAAUACAUAGUCAUGCGAGGCGAACCGGGUGAACUGAAACAUCUCAGUAGCUCGAGGAAAAGACAUCAACCGAGAUUCCGAAAGUAGUGGCGAGCGAAAUCGGAGAAGCCUGUUAGUGAUAGCACAAGACAUAACGGAACAGCUUGGAAAGGCUGGCCAUAGCGGGUGAUAGCCCCGUACGUGAAAUGACCUGUGUGGUACUGAGCUAACGACAAGUAGGGCGGGACACGAGAAAUCCUGUCUGAAUAUGGGGGGACCAUCCUCCAAGGCUAAAUACUCGUAAUCGACCGAUAGCGAACUAGUACCGUGAGGGAAAGGCGAAAAGAACCCCGGGAGGGGAGUGAAAUAGAUCCUGAAACCGCAUGCAUACAAAAAGUCGGAGCUCGUAAGAGUGACGGCGUACCUUUUGUAUAAUGGGUCAGCGACUUACAUUCAGUGGCAAGGUUAACCGAAUAGGGAAGCCGUAGAGAAAUCGAGUCCGAAUAGGGCGAUCAGUCGCUGGGUGUAGACCCGAAACCAAGUGAUCUAUCCAUGGCCAGGAUGAAGGUGCCGUAACAGGUACUGGAGGUCCGAACCGACUAGUGUUGCAAAACUAGCGGAUGAGCUGUGGAUAGGGGUGAAAGGCUAAACAAACUUGGAAAUAGCUGGUUCUCUCCGAAAACUAUUUAGGUAGUGCCUCAAGUAUUACCAUCGGGGGUAGAGCACUGUUUUGGCUAGGGGGUCAUGGCGACUUACCAAACCAAGGCAAACUCCGAAUACCGAUGAGUACAGCUUGGGAGACAGAGCACCGGGUGCUAACGUCCGGACUCAAGAGGGAAACAACCCAGACCGCCAGCUAAGGUCCCUAAAAUUGGCUAAGUGGGAAACGAAGUGGGAAGGCUAAAACAGUCAGGAUGUUGGCUUAGAAGCAGCCAUCAUUUAAAGAAAGCGUAAUAGCUCACUGAUCGAGUCGUCCUGCGCGGAAGAUGUAACGGGGCUAAGCCAGUUACCGAAGCUGCGGAUUUGCAAUUUAUUGCAAGUGGUAGGAGAGCGUUCUGUAAGCCUGUGAAGGUGCGUUGUAAAGCGUGCUGGAGGUAUCAGAAGUGCGAAUGCUGACAUGAGUAGCGUUAAAGGGGGUGAAAAGCCCCCUCGCCGUAAGCGCAAGGUUUUCUACGCAACGUUCAUCGGCGUAGAGUGAGUCGGCCCCUAAGGCGAGGCAGAGAUGCGUAGCUGAUGGGAAACAGGUCAAUAUUCCUGUACCG
rnacentral:rRNA from 1 species